rnacentral:rRNA from 1 species
UGGGGAAUUUUGGACAAUGGGGGAAACCCUGAUCCAGCCAUCCCGCGUGUGCGAUGAAGGCCUUCGGGUUGUAAAGCACUUUUGGCAGGAAAGAAACGUCGCGGGUUAAUACCCCGCGGAACUGACGGUACCUGCAGAAUAAGCACCGGCUAACUACGUGCCAGCAGCCGCGGUAAUACGUAGGGUGCAAGCGUUAAUCGGAAUUACUGGGCGUAAAGCGUGCGCAGGCGGUUCGGAAAGAAAGAUGUGAAAUCCCAGAGCUUAACUUUGGAACUGCAUUUUUAACUACCGGGCUAGAGUGUGUCAGAGGGAGGUGGAAUUCCGCGUGUAGCAGUGAAAUGCGUAGAUAUGCGGAGGAACACCGAUGGCGAAGGCAGCCUCCUGGGAUAACACUGACGCUCAUGCACGAAAGCGUGGGGAGCAAACAGGAUUCAGAUACCCUGGUAGUCCAACGCCCUAAACGAUGUCAACGUAGCUAGUUGGGGGUCUUCGGACCUUGGUAGGCGCAGCUAACGCGUGAAGUUGACCGCCUGGGAGUAC